rnacentral:rRNA from 2 species
GUUAAGCGACUAAGCGUACACGGUGGAUGCCCUGGCAGUCAGAGGCGAUGAAGGGCGUGCUAAUCUGCGAUAAGCGCCGGUAAGGUGAUAUGAACCGUUAUAACCGGCGAUACCCGAAUGGGGAAACCCAGUGUGAUUCGUCACACUAUCAUUAACUGAAUCCAUAGGUUAAUGAGGCGAACCGGGGGAACUGAAACAUCUAAGUACCCCGAGGAAAAGAAAUCAACCGAGAUUCCCCCAGUAGCGGCGAGCGAACGGGGAGGAGCCCAGAGCCUGAAUCAGCAUGUGUGUUAGUGGAAGCGUCUGGAAAGGCGCGCGAUACAGGGUGACAGCCCCGUACACAAAAGCGCAUGUGCUGUGAGCUCGAUGAGUAGGGCGGGACACGUGGUAUCCUGUCUGAAUAUGGGGGGACCAUCCUCCAAGGCUAAAUACUCCUGACUGACCGAUAGUGAACCAGUACCGUGAGGGAAAGGCGAAAAGAACCCCGGCGAGGGGAGUGAAAAAGAACCUGAAACCGUGUACGUACAAGCAGUGGGAGCCCCACCACUAAGCCAGUGGUGAACUCCACAUACGCAUCCUUUGCUGAGGAGACGGUUAACGGAGCGAAAGCGACGUUCAACCUCAAAACAAGCAGAGGGGGCUUAGUGGUGGGGUGACUGCGUACCUUUUGUAUAAUGGGUCAGCGACUUAUAUUCUGUAGCAAGGUUAACCGAAUAGGGGAGCCGGAGGGAAACCGAGUCUUAAUUGGGCGUUAAGUUGCAGGGUAUAGACCCGAAACCCGGUGAUCUAGCCAUGGGCAGGUUGAAGGUUGGGUAACACUAACUGGAGGACCGAACCGACUAAUGUUGAAAAAUUAGCGGAUGACCUGUGGCUGGGGGUGAAAGGCCAAUCAAACCGGGAGAUAGCUGGUUCUCCCCGAAAGCUAUUUAGGUAGCGCCUCGUGAAUUCAUCUCCGGGGGUAGAGCACUGUUUCGGCUAGGGGGCCAUCCCGGCUUACCAACCCGAUGCAAACUGCGAAUACCGGAGAAUGUUAUCACGGGAGACACACGGCGGGUGCUAACGUCCGUCGUGAAGAGGGAAACAACCCAGACCGCCAGCUAAGGUCCCAAAGUCAUGGUUAAGUGGGAAACGAUGUGGGAAGGCCCAGACAGCCAGGAUGUUGGCUUAGAAGCAGCCAUCAUUUAAAGAAAGCGUAAUAGCUCACUGGUCGAGUCGGCCUGCGCGGAAGAUGUAACGGGGCUAAACCAU